GACGAACGCUGGCGGCGCGCUUAACACAUGCAAGUCGAACGGAAAGGCCUGCUUUCCCUUGUGGAUUGCGGGUACUCGAGUGGCGAACGGGUGAGUAACACGUGAGUGAUCUGCCCCCAACUUGGGUAUAAGCCUGGGAAACUGGGUCUAAUUCCCGAUAGGACUGCAGGGUGGUGCCUGUGGUGGAACACGAUUUUCUAGUGGUUGGGGAUGAGCUCGCGGCCUAUCAGCUUGUUGGUGGGGUAAUGGCCUACCAAGGCGGCGACGGGUAGCCGGCCUGAGAGGGGGGACGGCCACAUUGGGACUGAGAUACGGCCCAGACGCCUACGGGAGGCAGCAGUGGGGAAGAUUGCACAAUGGGCGGAAGCCUGAUGCAGCGACGCCGCGUGGGGGAUGACGGCCUUCGGGUUGUAAACUCCUUUCGACCGCGAGGAAGCCACCUGGUUGGAAGGGUGGUGACGGUAGUGGUAGAAGAAGCACCGGCUAACUACGUG
rnacentral:rRNA from 1 species